rnacentral:lncRNA from 1 species
GGGGUGGCCACACUCACUCUCUCUCUCUCUUUUUUUUUUGGGGCAAAGCCAUGCCAAAUUGCAUCCCCACGUACCCUUGUUUCUAUAGAGCUGCAAUUGCGUAGCUGUAGUGUAUUAGUUAUCAGGAAAUAGAACGUCAAACUUUACCAAUAGUUAGAUCUUGACGUUAGCUUCCUCGGGACAGUAGGCACGCUUUGUUUGGAGAGAAAACAAGAAAGUUGUGGUGGUUUUAGUGACAAGGAGGUCAGCUGCCGGCCAGAUCUGGAGGUCCGACUUUGGAAGGCGAGUGUUGGCGGAAAUUAUUGAAAUUGGAGCUGAAACUUUUGUGGGAGAUGGUUCUUGUUGUCAGCUUUGCAAGGAUUAUUUGCACGCUUAGAUUGAGUAAAGGCCAAGGAAGUUAUGGUGGUUGGAGUGAAGAGGAGUCGGCCGUGGUGAAGAUGAAGCACUCCGCCAACUCAAGCUACUUUGGAAGGUCAUAUCUUGGAAUUCACUCAAGAUUUUCAAGAAAAAAUUGUUGGAGGUGAUGCGGCUUCAAUUCUAGUUUUUGGAAUGCUAAAGCAUAUGCGUUGCACAACUGGAAUGGAGCAAGGGCAAGGGUUUUUGUGGCCAGGGGUGCUCUGACUAGGCCGAGAAAGUCAGGCAACUUUGAGGCAAGAUUUCUCUUAGCUUAAUUGUUGUUUUGCAUUGAAUUUUAAUGGAGGACAAGCGCUUGUAAGUCUACUUUCUGAAAUAGCAAAGCUUGUUAUAAAAAAGUUAGUGAUGCAACCAUUGUAGUGGAAUUCGUGCAAGGGGGUCGCUACCAUGACUUGGAAGGUGGCAACUUCCAAUUUUCUUUAAUUUUUAGGAUGAAUCUUGGAUGAAUUAGGUCAAUUGUACGAAUUUUCAAUUGGAUGAUAAGUUGACUUAUGGUUGGAUGAAUGAAUCUUUAGAUGAAAAUUAGAUGAACAAACUUUGAAUGAAUGAAUGAAUGUUAUAGGAUGAAUGAGAUUUAAGGGAUGGAUGAUUGAUGAAGGAAAAUUUAGGAUGAAUGAACUUAGGGUUUAUGGAUGAACUUAGGGUUUAUGGAUGAACUUAGGGUUUCUGGAUGAACUUAGGGUUUCUGGAUGAACUUAGGAUUUAUGGGUGAACUUAGGAUUUAUGGAUGAACUUAGGGUUUAUGAAUGAACUUAGGGUUUAUAAAAAUUACGUGUGAGUGAAGUUAAUCCACUUGACUACUAAACGCAAUUAAGGGUGGAGGAAUUUAGCUCACAGAUGUUAGGAUCAAUGACCAAUUCCAGUGCCAAUAUUUAGGGGCCAAUUAAUGUCACCCUAUUACAAGCUGUACCACCAAACGUAACAACAACGUAUGCUCUACCAGUAUCGUAUUAUGUACUAUCUAGCUUGAGAAUGCAUCAGGCGUCUAGUUGUGGAAGAUAAAAUGAUGUUUUGCAAAUAUUCAAGUAGUCUAGUGGUUUUCAACCAUCUAAACACAAACUAUUUUGGAUUUCAAUGUAAAAGCUUAAUCUCAAUACAAAGUGCUUAGAAAUACUAUUUUUAAUAACUUCAAGUUAUUAUAAGUACAAAGUCUUUUUUUAUUUGUUAGUUUUAUUUUAUUUUAUUUUAUUUUAUAUAUUUUUAAAUCCUAAUCUUAGACAACAAGCUUUGACAAGGUAAAAUUCUCAAUCUGAUCGUCCGAUUGUUGUAAACUUCUACCGCUAAUGUCUUUGCAAGCCUUCUAAAUGCUCAAGAAGUUUCAAUCCAAUCUAACUUAUAGAUUGCAAGAAAAUAUCGUAAAUCCACAUUGAUGUAUCUUGACUGCCGCCUAGAAGUCCCCGACUUACCAUGCCAAAAGUCACCUUAUUCCAGCUCAUAGAUCUCUAGAUAUUACAAAAGCCCUAAAUAACUCUAAUCUGCUAACUUUCGAUACUUCUUUAUACUAAUGGUCAAAUAUCCUCUAUCUGUUCCAUUAGAUUAAUACAAACUUUUGCAUGCACUUGGCAUACUCAACCCUCUAGACAUCUCUAAAUUUCAACUGCAAAAGUUCCUCCAAUUUCACAAGACAGUCGAGAGUACUAGGCUUAACUUUAUUGCAAAAAAAAACCCAACCACCAAUACAAACACUGACUUUCAGCAAUGAUUGCAAAAGUCCUUUCAAAACCUAUGAAUCCAAUUCACCAAUACAAACACUAGCUUUGAGUAACGAUUGCAAAGUCCUUCCAAAACCUAUGAACCCAAUUCACUAAUACAAACACUUUUCGAAGGAGCUUGAAGCUUCUUUUUGACCCCCAAAAUCUUAAUUUCCGAAUCCCCUUAAAAAUCCUCUUUUUAUUCCCUUCAGUUUAACUCCGUGUGGUUCCAUUUUCUCCCACUCUUGACUCCAAAUUGGAACAAUUGAUGGCACUUCUCCGAAAUUCCUGUCUCUAAGAGGAUCUUAUCCCGUAAAUGAUGUUUCUCUUAGAAUGGCAUAGAGAACGGAAUAGCUUGAGAUGGAAUCGAAGCCUCCAUAAUUAGGACCUCAUUGGGUUGCCCAAUCGAGUCAAGUCCCACACUGGGUAAGAUGCUUGUAAUAGGAGCUGGAUUAGAUGUCCCAUAAUUGGGUCAAAUUGGCCCUUUGCAUCAAGCUCACCCAAUUUUUGAAUUGGUCCUUUCCCCUUUUUUUGACUCUUGGUAAGAACAACUUGGACACAUUCCACCCGUUUAUUAGAGAAUCUUGAGGUCUUUGAUUUAUCUCCUCAAUUUUUCCUUGGCUUUAGAUCUACUGAUCUCGUUUAUUGAAAUUGGACGGAGCAUUACAUUGCUGAUAAGUAUGCCCCGACUGCUUAUAAUUCCUAUAAAUUGGUGCGCAAUCAUUACUGGCUUUGGGAUUGGAACAUUCACUGGCAUAAUGACCAACCUGUCUGCAACGGAAAUGACAAAGUAGUCUUCUUGUACUCCCAUCAUGCAUAUUGGGUGUCUCCACCGGUAUAUACCUACUAGGCUUGUUCCAUGUAGGAUUGGAAAGUGAUCGUAGUUGUUUUGUUGGUAUGGAGGGUACUUGAUUUGAUGAUGCUAGUGGGGUGAUAUUAACUGAUCCUGAAUAUUGGCACUUGAAUUGGCCACUGUUUCUAACAUUUAAGAUGACUAAAUAUUAAUAAUAUCUUUUUUAUUUAUAUUUUCACUAUAUAGUCAUAUUACAACACGACAUCCACUUCUUCCGAACGUGUGCAUCCUUUGGUAUGCACCAAAUAACCCAGUUGUUGUUUGAUUCAUAACAUGUUUUCCAAGUCUUCGUCAAAAUUCUCUUCAUUAUUUUUCCUAUUCAUAUCAAAUUCAUAUUCUUGUCAAGGAAUAUCUAUAUCUUCACCAAGAUCUUCUAUAUUUAUUUUUAUAUGUCUUUGUUUAAAUAUUUUUAUUCGCUUCCCUGGAAUUGGUAUUUUUAACCUUGUUCCAUCUAACUUCCACAAUGAGUAAGUUAAAUUAUCAUGAAUAGUUGUUACUACAUACGGUCCAAACCAUCGCUUAGAAAACUUCCUUAAAAUACUAUGUAGAUUGUCCAAGCUACUAUCAUAGACCAAAAUCCAAUCACCUUCUUCAAUUGCUUUAGGCCUCAAUCGAUGCUGCUUAUCAAAUUGUGCCUUAUUUUGUAACCUUGAUCUUUUUAACCUUUCUAAUGCUACUUGCACAUCUUCCAAUCUUUGCUCUAAUUGUUGAAUUCUAAUAGCUAGAAGUUUUUCUCUUAUCAAUCCAUCUUCCUAUGGUAGCACACUCCAAGUAGGUAUUUUUUUUUCAAUUGGCAUAAUUAGUUUUUGACCUGUCAUAAGCUCAAUAGGCAUAUAUCCCGUUACUGAGCUAUGAGUUGUUCGAUCAACCCAUAAUAUAAAUGACAAAAGUUGUGGUUAUUUUCUAACCUUUCUAUUACAAGCUUUAAUUAAUGCUUUUUUAAUCGGUGGGUGACCACGCUUACUUUUUGCAUUUCUUUCAAGAUUAUAAGUAGUAGUCAGUGAUAGUUUCAUUCCACAUCUUUCAAAGAAUUCACAAGCUUCUUGUGUAUUUAAUUCUCCAUGAUCUGCAGUGAUUUUUCUUAUACAUCCGUAGCAGCAAAUAACAUCUUCAAGCAAACAUCUACAAAUUCUUUCUGUAGAUUUUGUUCUCAAUGCUCUUCCUUCUACUUGAUUUGAUAAAUCUUCAUGAGUUAAGACUAAAUAUCUCAUUUGCCAUAAAUCAAUUGGCAUAAUAACUAAAUCAACAAUCCAUUUAAAAUGAAUAGCUAGAGGAUAUGUAUGAUGAAGACCAUCUCGAUGUCGUAUAUUAGAAUACAUUUGACAAAUUUCACAUGACUCUGCAAAUAAGAGCACAUCUCAAUACAUAUUUUUCCACCAAUAUCGUUCCUUAAGCUUAGCAAAAGUAGCCCAAAUUCUUCUAUGUCCUGUCCAUAUACUAUCAUGAAAUCCCUUUAAUAAUUUUUGUUUCUCUUCCUUAUUGCCUAUCACUCUUUGUAGCAUUCCAAUUCCUUUCUUUGGUCUCUUCCAUAAGAAUCCUUCUUGAAACAAAAAUACAUAUGCAUUUUUACUUAUUUAUUUAAAUUUUUUUGUAGACCAAUUUUCUUGCUUAGUCAAGAUAAUCAAGUAAUGACCAAUGUCCAAUAAUUCUCCUUCGUAAAUUUUUUCAAGAAAUAGCUUGUCUUCUUUGUUAAGAUUUGAUACUGAAUAGAAUUUUGAUGCAACAUCAUCAAUAUCUUCAACCAUUUCGUCUUCUCUUUCAUAUCUUGUUCUAGAUAGCAUAUCUGCUCCUAAAUUAUCUUUUUCAACAAUGUGCUUAAAUUCUGGAUUUAAUGACUUAAUAUAAGUAAUCCAUCUUAACAUUGCAAUAUCCUGCAUUGAACAAUUAGUAAUCAUUCUAAGUAAUGGCAAGCAAUCCGUUUCAUUUACUAUUGUUGUACCAAUCAAAUAAUCCCUUUCAACUUUCAUAGCUGAAACAACUCUCCAAAGUUCUCUUUUGACUUGCAAAUAUACACGUUGAUGAGUAUUUAAAACUUUAGCUCCAAAUCGAACUACAAAUCUAUUUCUACUUGAAUCAUCUUGACCUACAACUCAUCCAAUAGCAAUAGGACUAGUAUCCACAAUAAAAAUUACUUAUCUAUUAUAGUCAUAAUCAAUUUUUCUUAAAAUUGGAGGUGUCACCAAUAACACCUUUAGCUUCUACAUUGCUUUAGUAUGCUUUUUCUCCCAUUUAAAUCGAUAAUCCUUACGUAAUAGUUCAUACAAUGGAUCCGCUACAUGAGCAUAAUGAGGAGUCCAUAUAUGAUAAAAUACAUAAGCUCCUAAAUACUUGUGUACUUCUGUUAAAGAGUUACAUGAAUCCUUCAUCUUUCCAAUUGCAUCAACUUUGCUUGGAUCUGGCUUUUUUCCAUAAAAUCCACACAAAUGCACAACAAUAAAAACUUCCUGUACUCCAAAUGUAGAUUUUGCUCUUGAAAGUGUAAGAUGAACAUCUUUAAGUCAAGUUAAAAUCAUUUCACAAUCUUUUAUAUAAUCAACAACAUAUUUGCGACACCUCUUCUCAUCUAAAGUUUCAUCUUUUUCUCCUUCUUUACAUCCUUUGAUAAGAACAUCAUCUAAAAAAGGCAUAGUUUUUUUAGGAAUGAAGUCUCUUAAUACCUUGUUCAUCCCAUUCAUCAUAUGUUCAAUUGAGUUACUAGCACCUUGUGGGAGAGUACAUAUUUUAAGAAAGCCAAGUGGCAUUCUCAUUGUUGUUAGAUCUCUACUCCCAUACACAAGUUGAAAUUUAUUGUAAUCCAAAUAUAAAUCACCCAUUGAAUAAAUUGUUCUUUUCGCAAACGCUUCUGUAAACUCGUCUACUAAAGAUCCUAUACCUACAUUUCUUAUAGUUACUGCAUCCAUUGGCUGCAUAUCUUUAAGAAAACAUAACGAUCUAUUUUUUUUAGGCAUUGUAAACCAACGACUAGAAUAUGGAGCAAAAAAAGGCUCCAAAAUUUUCAUUUGGAUCUUUUCUUUCAAUAAUUCCACCAAUUUAGGUAAAUGUGCCCUCGACAUGGAAAUUGGCCUUGAGUUCCAAGGUACAUGAGGUACUGUAAAGAUAACCAUAGGAGCAACAACAUUAGGAUCUACACAUCCUAUUUCACGAGACCCAAAGGCAAAUGAUUUACCUCGUUUCGCAAGCAUUUUUUUAAAAUAUUCAAUUUCUGUUGGAAAUAAAGAACCGUUGUUGUGUUAUAACACGAGUAUGCCGUGAAAAUAUAAAGAAAGGGGACUUUUAUUAAUGUUCAGUUACCUCAAAUAUUAGGAGCAACGACUAAUUCCAGUGCAAAUACUGAGUGGCCAGGUUCAGUCACCCCGUUACAAUCAACCGGGCCAUACUGAAAUGCUCCAUUCGAUUCCAAUAACGGGAGUCAGCAGGAAGAGAAAGGACCAAUUCAACGAUGGGUGAGCCUGAUUCGAAGAGCCGAUUGGAUCCAAUUUCAAGACAUCCAAUCCAGGUCUUAGCCAAUAUGAGACCUAAAUUGGUCGGGCGACUCAAUGUGGUUCUGAUUACGGGGUUUCGAUUCUGUUUCAGGCUGUCCUGUUCUCUGUGCCAUUUUUGGGAACGUCCUUUCGGUAAAAAGAUCUCUUAAAGAUAAAAACGGAGGAGAAAGCUCUGACAUCAGAGCCAAUUCUGGAUCUAAGAUGGAAGAUUGAAGAAAUUCAGAGGCUAGGGUUUGAGAGAGGGGAGAAUUAGGGUUAAAGGGGAGGAUAGGUUAAGAAAUGGAAGAGAGAGAGAAAAAGUUUUGGAGAAGGAUGGAAGAGCUGGCUUCAUACUUCGGAAAGGGGAAAAAAGAUAGAGAAUUGGAUUUUUUUUUCUUUAUAGGAUUUUAGAAAGACGGAGGCAAAUGUUGCUGAAAUUAGUGUUGUAAUGGUGAAUCAAGAUUUUUAAUGAAGUGGGUGUGAUUACUCUUGACUGUUUUGUGAAAUCGAAGUUACAUCUGUGAUUGAAGAAUUAAAAGGAUGUCUAUAGGAUUGAGUAUGCGGAGUGAAUGAAAAUUAUUGGGUUAAUCUAACAAGACAGUCAGUGGAUAUAAGAUCGUGAGUAUAAAGCGGUAUUGAAGAUUAGCAGUUUGAGUUGUUCGAGAUUCUCUAUAAUGUCUAAAGACCUACCGGCUAGGACAAAAAGGAUUUUGGCAAAAGGUCAAAGGACGUCCGUAUAGGUUUACGAUAUAUUCUUACAGUUAUUUAUAUUCCAACAAUCAAAAACCGAUAGACUGCUUGAAUAUUAGCGAAUCUCCAUACUACCUUCUACAGCCAGACGUCCAGCGCGUUCUCAAGCAGGAAAGUACGUAAUACGACAUAAGUAGUGAACCUGACGUGAAAGCUUGAGGUGGAAGGUAUUGGAUUUUGUUUAAUUUUAUUUUUAUUUUAUGGAAAAUAAAAAUAAAAAUUUUGAAGGAUCUUUCGGAGGAGUUUCUGGUGGAGAUUCUUCUUAAGGACAAGGUAUGCACAUGGAUCCGUCUAUUACUAGUAUGUUUCAAGCCUUCUCAUUAUCAAUGCAGCAACAGCAAAGCAAUGAUCGAAAGGAAGCUUUGGCAACCAAAGCAUUGCAAGCAGUGGUCAAUAAAAUUGAUCAAUUUGAUGGAAGGAAUAUUUCAAGGUAUUUAAGAUGUUAUAUUCAUGAAAUGGAAUUAAAUCGGGUUUCUGAGAAGAAAAUGGUUGAAUUAUUUGGACUCGCCACGAUAUCGGAGAUAAGAGACCAUAUUACAUCAAUUAUGGAUCGUUAUGGGAAUUCAUGGGAGGUUUUUUCACAUGCAUUGAAAGACAAAUAUUUCUUGGAAGAUGCUGGUCGCAUUACUAAGAAGCUGUUUCUGGAAUGGAUUGAACGGCCUAAUAAGAAUUUGCAAGCAACAGAGCUACUAAGGAAAUUUGAGAGGCAGUACUCUUAAUUAUUGAAGGUAGAAAAAUUGACAUUGGAGCCGAACAAAGUUGAUCUAUUUCUUCAAGCUGCUGAUGGAGAAUUGCAAGAGAAAUUAGAACUUCUUCUUGAAGACAAAGAAGAAGAUGAAGGAUUGACAACAAAGAGGAGGAACGUUGAAGAUGCGGUGAGGUUGCUUACAAAAAGAGAAAGGAAGAAGGAUAGGAGCAAUAUUCCGAAAACAAUACAAGCAUCCAAAGCUCCAGUACGUACAACACCACCAACAAUGCCUGCAGUUCAACCUUUGACAUCCUUAUGAAAGAAAGCACAUAUGGGGAUGGAAGAAAUUAUACGAGGAAUGCGAGAUCUUCAAAUCAAAUUGGCAAGACUUGAAGAGAAUACUUCUACAAACAAUUUGAAGAAUGUUUCAAAAACAAGAAUAUGUGGUCGGAUGCAUUUGGUGUGAUGANNNNNNNNNNNNNNNNNNNNNNNNNNNNNNNNNNNNNNNNNNNNNNNNNNNNNNNNNNNNNNNNNNNNNNNNNNNNNNNNNNNNNNNNNNNNNNNNNNNNACACACUAGAAAAGAUUGCAAUGAAUUUAAUAAUAUGAUACGGCAAGGAAUUAUUUGGUGAAAAGAUGGAAAGAUAGCAUUAAAAGAUAGGGAGGAUCUUCUUCAAACCAAUUUUGGCAAGGGAGGAAUGAGAGCAUUGGUUCAAGAUUACUUAAAAGAGCAUGAAACAGUAGCACGAGAAAGUGCAAGUUAUGGUGCUAGAGUAGAUGAUGAAAUUGGUGGAAGUACGGAAACUAGUGAGUUUAGGCUUCUGCCGUUUCUACAAUGCAAGAAGGGAAAUUACCUCGAGCAGCGUUAUUGAGAACUGCUGCUACAAUACGAGGUAGAACAGGUUGGGAGGAUCCUGUUGAGUCUCUUUUAGUUCAUGCAUAUAUUGCUAAGAGCCAACAUGAAGCUUUGAUGGAAGAAAAGAGAUGAGGAAAUUUUGAUGAUACUAGAGAAGGAAAUUCUUCUAAGAGGCAAACUCGAGGAGAUAAGGCUCGGGAGGCAGCUUCACAAGAAUUGCUUGUAAAGGAUACCUCAGCAUCAUUGGAAGAAAAAACAAAGGAGACAAAAGAUAAGGGCAAAUCAAUUGCUUAUAAGCUACUUUCUGACAUUGAAGCAGCAACAAAUUUGAAAGGGGUGUUGGAAAAACGUAUAUUAAAUGCUAAAGUGGAAUUCACAUUGAAAGAAGUUUUGGGAAUUACAAAGAAGGAGUUUCAUGAUAUUAUCAUUGACAUCAUUAAGCGAAAGAGGUAAUUAAUGGACAAAACUGGAAUGAGUCAUGCUAUUGAUGCAAGAAUAUAUAAAGAUGAAGAAGAGGUUGAUAUUGGUUACAAGCAACCAACAAAUGAAAAGAAUGGGUAUAAUAAAUGAGUACGUUUCGAAGAUUAUAGUGAUAAGGAAAUGGAAACUUUGAGCCAUUAUACUCGAAAGCAUUGGGCAAGGGCAACUACUGAGGUAUUGGUGAAAGUAGGAGAUAUAGAAGAACCAAUUGUUGCUUUAGUCGAACAUGGUUCUGAAAUAAAUCUCAUGUCUAAAGAUCUUUAUAAGAAGCAAAAAUGGCCAAUUGAUAUGGAACAUGGAUGGGCAAUACGAGCAGCUAAUAACACACAAGGCAAAUUAUAUGGAGCUUGUCUAGAUGUCAAAAUUCGGAUUGGGGAUGUUGCGACGGAACAACAUUUCUUUGUUCAAGAUACAAUAUCUUAUCCGUUGAUUUUAGGAUAACCUUAUAUUAUGGCAACACGGAUGGAAACAAAAGUACUUGACGAUGGUUCUGCUUAGGCAAGGAUACGUAGCCAAAAUGAGAGGAAAGUUGUAUAAUUUCUAACAGUACCUCCUAACCAUGAACGGAAUUGAGAUAAGUUGAGGGAGAAACCAUUGCCAAAGAUUGUUGAAGGAUUUAAGGAUUUUGGGGAGAUACCACUGUAAAGCGAGAUUAUGGAGGUACAAAAGAGGAGGUACUCUCGUGAGAUAAAGGUGCCUUUGAUGUGAGUUUUAUUGAUAUUUUAGAGAAUGGAAAUAUUAUGUAUAAGAAAGUGGAUGAUUUUAAAAGAAAAGAAAGAAAAAGAUUAUAUAAUAUUGAAGGAGAAUUACACAAGUUAGGAACAUUGCAAGAUGAUGAGAAGAUUUUAGGUGUUUAUGAAGAAAAUGGACUAGAAGAUUCAUUGGAGUUGAUUACAUCUAUUGGGUUAAGGGAUAAUGAUAAGAUUGUUGAGAUUCAUUCAAGAGAGGUUUAUACCAUACUUGAAUCUUUUCAAGCACUAGAAGUCACUAUAGAGACGAGAUGUAAAACGGCAGAUAAGAAGAUAAAGCCUGUUGCCAGACCAUUACCAGAAGAUUCUAAAGAACAAAUGGGAGAAGCAUCAAAAGAAGCAAGUUUAAGAGAUUCAAUGAGUAUUGGACAUCAGUUUAUUAAAGAGACUUUUGAAGAAUUGAAGAUUGAUUCUGAUGGACCUUUAUUGUCGAAGGAAAUUACUUGCUUCAAAAAGAUGUUGGCUAAACAAGGUAGAUCAUUUGCCUUCAAAUCUCAUGAAAUUGGGUGUGUGGAUCCAAAUAUUAUAACACCUAUGGUUGUCUUCACUGUACCACAUGUACCUUGGAAUCUAAGACCGAUUUCAAUAUCGAGGGUACAUUUACCUAAAUUGGUGGAACUAUUAAAGGAAAAGAAAAAGAUGAAAAUAUUGGAACCCUCAUUUGUGUCGUAUUCUAGUCGAUGGUUUACGGUACCUAAGAAGAAUGGGUCACUAUGGUUUAUUCAAGAUAUACAACCAAUGAAUGCAGUAACUAUCAGGAAUGCAGGAAUUGGACCUAUUGUGGAUGAAUUUACUGAGGCGUUUGCAAGAAGGGCGAUCUAUUCAAUGGAUGACUUGUAUUCAAGUUAUGAUCAAUUUCAACUUGUCGAAGGAAGUAGAGAUAUGACAACAAUGAGGACACCACUUGGAUUGGUUAGAAUGUGCAUUCUUCCUCAAGGCACGACCAACUUAGUUACGCAUAUGAUAAAUGGGAUGAAUAAGGUAUUGAGAGAUUUUAUUUUGGAGAAGACUAUGCCUUUUCUAGAUGAUGUUCUUAUAAAAGGAUGCAGAGAAGGAAACAAGGAUGAAACUUUAGAUAAGAGGGGGUGUCGCAAAUAUGUUGUUGAUCAUAUACAAGAUUGUGAAAAGAUUUUAACUCGGCUUGGAGAAGUUCAUCUUACAUUAUCGGAUAUGAAGUCCGUAUUUGGAGUAUGAGAGGUUGUGAUUGUUGGACAUUUAUGUGGAUCUUACGGAAGAAAACCAGAUCUGACUAAAGUUGAUGCAAUUGGAAGGAUGAAAGAGGAUCGUGAUUCUUUAACAAAGGUUCGCAGGUUUUUGAGUGCAUGUGUAUUUUAUCGAAUCUGGAUCCUUCAUUAUGCUCACAUAACGGAUCUAUUAUAUGAACUGUUAUGCAAGGGCUACCAAUUUAAAUGGGAAGAAAGGCAUAUUCAAGCAAUGAAAGAUUGAAGAAAUUAUUGAUGUUACCUCUAAUAUUGAGGAAGGUUGAUUAUAAGUGUAAUAGACCAGUGAUUCUUAUUGUGGACGCUAGUCCAAUUGCCAUUGAAUGGGCUGUGGGUCAAGAUGAUUCAAGUGGGAAUAGAUUUGCAGUUCGAUUUGGAGCUAAAGUUUUAAGUAUUCAUUAGCGUACAUAUUUGCAAGUCAAAAGAGAACUUUGGGGAGUUGUUUCACCUAUGAAAGCUGAAAAGGACUAUUUGAUUGGGGCAGUAGUAGUAAUUGAAACAGAUUGCUUGCCAUUGCUCGGAAUGAUUACUAAUUGUUCAACGCCAGAUAUUGCAAUGUUGAGAUGGAUUGCUUAUAUUAAGUCACUAAAUCUGGAAUUUAAGCAUGUUACUGGGAAGGACAAUUUAGUAGCAGACAUGUUAUCUCGAGCAAGAUACGAGAGGGAGGAUGAAAUGGUUGAAGACAUUGAUGACGUCAGAUUGAAAUUCUAUUCAAUAUCAAAUCUCAACAGAGAAGACAAGCUAUUUCUUGAAAAAUCUUAUGAAGGAGAAUUAUUGGAUAUUGGUCAUUACUUGAAUACCUUGACUAAGCAAGUGAAUUGGUCUACAGAAAAAUUCAAACAAAUAAGAAAAAAAGCAUAUGGAUUUUUGCUUCAAGAUGGAUUCUUAUGGAAGAGACCGAAGAAAGGAAUUGGGAUGCCACAACAAGUGAUAAGCAAAAAGGAAGAAAAACUAAAAUUAUUAAAGGUGUUUCAUGAUAGUUUAUGGGCAGGGCAUAGAGGAAUCUGGGCUACUUUUGCUAAACUCAAGGAAACGAUAUUGGUGGAAAAAAUAUGUAUCGAGAUGUGCUCUCAUUUGUAGAGUUAUGUGAAAUCUGUCAAUCAUAUUCUAAUAUCCGACAUCGAGAUGGUCUUCAUCCUACGUAUCCUCUGGUAUUCAUUUUAAAUGGGUUGUUGAUUUGGCUAUUAUUCUAGUUGAGUUAUGGCAGAUGAGAUAUUUGGUUUUAGCUCGUGAAGAUUUAUCAAAUCAAGUAGAAGGAAGAGCAUUGAGGAAAAAAUCUUUAGAGGGGAUUUGUAGGUUUUUGCUUGAAGAUGUCAUUUGCCGCUACGGAUGCGUAGGAAAAAUCACUGCAGAUCAUAGAGAAUUAAAUGCACAAGAAGCUCGUAAGUUCUUUGAAAGAUGUGGAGUUAAACUAUCACUGACUAUUACUUAUAAUCCGGAAAGGAAUGCAAAAAGCGAACGUGGUCACCCACCGAUUGUGAAAGCAUUAGUUAAAGCUUAUAAUAGAAAAGUUAGAGAGUGGCCACGACUUUUGUCAUUUGCAUUAUGGACUGAUUGAACAACACAUAAUUCGAUGAUAGGAUAUAUGCCAGUAGAACUUAUGACAGGUCGAAAACCAAUUAUGCCGAUUGAAGAAAAGGUACUUACUUGGAGUAUGCUUCCAUAGAAAGAUGGAUUGACAAGAGAAGAACUUUUGGCUAUUAGGAUUCGACAAUUGGAGCAAAAAUUGGAAGAUGUGCAAAUAACAUUGGAAAGGUUAAAAAGAGCAAGGUUACAAAACAAGGCGCGAUUUGAUAAGCAACAUCGAUUGAGACCUAAAGCAAUCGAAGAAGGUGACUUGGUACUUGUUUAUGACAAUAGUCUGGAUAAUCAACAUAAUACCUUGUGGAAAUUUUCAAAAUGUUGGUUUGGACCAUAUGUAGUAACAAUUGUUCAUGAUAAUGCGACUUACUCAUUACGGGAGUUAGAUGGUACAAAAUUGAAAAUACCAAUUGCAGAGAAGUGAGUAAAAAUAUUUAAACGAAGACACCCGGAGAUGAAUAUGGAAGACUUUAAUGAAGGUAUAGAGAUUCCGCAGCAAGAGAUUGAAAGUGAUUUGGAUAAUGAAGGUGACGAAGACGAACUGGACAAAGACAUAGAGAAUAUAUUCUAAAUCAAAAAACAAUUGGAUAAAUUGGUGCAUACCAGAGGAUGCACAGGUUCAGAGGGGGUGGAUGUCGUAUUGUAACACAAGUAUGUCAUGAAAAUAUAAAGAAAUGGGACUUUUAUUAAUGUUCAGUUACCUCAAAUAUUGGGAGCAACCACUAAUUCCAGUGCAAAUACUGAGUGGCCAGGUUCAGUCACCCUGUUACAAUCAGCCGAGCAUACUGAAAUGCUCCAUUCGAUUCCAAUAAUGGGAGUCAGCAGGAAGGAAAAGGACCAAUUCAACGAUGGGUGAGCCUGGUUCGAAGAGCCAAUUGGAUCCAAUUUCAAGACAUCCAAUCUAGAUCUUAGCCAAUAUGAGACCUGAAUUGCUCGGGCGACUUAAUGUGGUCCCGAUUACGGGGUUUCGAUUCUGUUUCAAGCUGUCCUGUUCUUUGUGCCAUUUUCGAGAACGUCCUUUCAGUAAAAGAAUCUCUUGAAGGUAAAAACGGAAGAGAAAGCUCUGACGACGGAGCCAAUUUCGGAUCCAAGAUGGAAGAUUGAAGAAAUUCAGAGGCUAGGAUUUGAGAGAGGGGAGAAUUAGAGUUAAAGGAGAGGAAAAAUUAAGAAAUGGAGGGGGGAAAGAAUAAGUUUUGGAGAAGGAUGGAAGAGCUGGCUUCAUGCUUCGGAAAGGGGAAAAAAGAUAGAGAAUUGGAUUUUUUUUUCUUCAUAGGAUUUUGGAAAGACGGAGGCAAACGUUGCUGAAGUCAGUGUUGUAAUGGUGAAUGGGGAUUUUUAAUGAAGUGGAUGUGAUUACUCUUGACUGUUUUGUGAAAUCAAAGUUACGUUUGUGAUUGAAGAAUUAAAAAGAUGUCUAUAGGAUUGAGUAUGCGGAGUGAAUGAAAUUUAUUGGGUUAAUCUAACAAGACGGUCAAUGGAUACAAGAUCGUGAGUAUAAAGCGGUAUUAAAGAUUAGCAGUUUGAGUUGUUCGGGGUUCUCUGUAAUGUCUAGAGACCUACCGGUUGGGGCAAAAAGGAUUUCGACGAGUAGUCAAAGGACGUCCGUAUAGGUUUACGGUAUAUUCUUGCAGUUGUUUAUAUUUCAACAGUCAAAAACCGAUAGACUGCUUGAAUAUUAGCGAAUCUCUAUACUAUCUUCUACAGCCAGACGCCCGGCACGUUCUCGAGCAGGAAAGCACGCAAUACGACACCGUCACAUUCAAUCUUCAAUUCUUCAAAAGUCUCCUUUAUAAACUGAUGUCCAAUCUUUUUUGGAUCUCUUAAAUUCUCUUCUUUUCAUGCUUCUUCCAUUUGUUUCUUAAAAUCUUCUGGUAAAGAUCCAGCAACAAGUUUUACUUUUUUAUCUACUAUUUUAUAUUUUGUCUCUAUAAUAACUUUUGAUGCUUGAAAAGAUUCAAGUAUAGAAUAAACCUUCCUCGAAUGAAUUUCCACAAUCUUAUUAUUAUUUCUUAAUCCAAUAGAUGCAAUUAAUUCUAAAGAAACUUCCAAUCUAUUUUCUUCAUAAAUACCUAAAAUCUUCUCAUCAUCUUCUAAUGUCCUUAACUUGCAUAAUUUUCUUUCAAUACUAUAUAAUAUUUUUCUUUUUUUUCUUUUAAAAACUCCAUAUAAUUCACCUCAUGUAUUAUUAGCUACUCGUAUUGCCUAUCCAUGUUCCAUAUCAAUUGGCUAUUUCUACUUCUUAUAAAGAUCCUUAGACAUAAGAUUUAUUUCAGAACCAUGGUCAACCAAAGCAACAAUUGGUUCUUCUAUAUCUCCUACUUUCACCAAUACUUUAGUAGUUGCCUUUGUCCAAUGUUUCAGAGUAUAAUGGCUUGAAGCUUCUAUUUUUUUAUCACUAUAAUCUUUAAAAUGUACUCGUUGAUUAUAACCAUUCUUUUCAUUUGUUGAUUGCUUAUAACCAUUAUCAACCUCUUCUUCAUCUUUAUAUAAUCUUGCAUCAAUAGCAUGCCUCAUUCCAGCUUCACCCAUUAAUUACUUCUUUCCUUUAAUGCUGUCAAUGAUAAUAUCAUGAAACUCCUUCUUUGCAAUUUCCAAAAUUUCUUUCAAUGUGAAUUCUACCUUAGCAUUUAAUAUACAUUCUUCCAACAGCCCUUUUAAAUUUGUUGCCGCUUCAAUAUCAGAAAGUAGCUUAUAAGCAAUUGAUUUAUCCUUUUUUUUUGUCUCCUUUGUUUUUUCUUCCAAUGAUGCUAAGGUAUCCUUUAUAGUUAAUUCUUGUGAAGCCGCCUCGCGAGCCUUGUCUCCUCAAGUUUACCUCUUAAAAGAGUUUCUUUUUUUUGUAUCAUCAAAAUUUCCUUGUCUCUUUUCUUCCAUCAAAGCUUCAUGUUGGCUCUUAGCAAUAUAUGCAUGAACUGAAAGAGACUCAAUAAGAUCUUCUCAAUCUAUUGCACCUCAUAUUGUAGCUGCAUUCUUCAAUAAUGCUUCUCGAGGUAUUUUCUCCUUUUGUAUUAUAGAAAUGACAGAAGCCCAAAAUUCACUAGUUUCUAUAUUUCUCCCAAAGUCAUCAUCUACUCUAAUACCAUAACUUGCACUCUCUCGUCAUACUACUCCAUGUUCUGUUAAACAAUCUUGAAUCAAUGCUCUCAUACCUUCCUUGCCAAAAUUGAUUUGAAGGAGAUCCUCUGUAUCCUUUAAUGCAAUCUUUCCAUCUUUCUAAUAAAUAAUUCUUUGUUGUACCAUAUUAUUAAAUUCAUUACAAUUCUUCCUAGUAUGUAAAGCAUUAUUAUACCAAAUACAUCUUUGUACAUACUCUUGUUUUGAAACAUUCUUCAAUUUAUUUGUAGAAGUAUUUUCUUCGAGUCUUAUCAAUUUGAUUUGAAGAUCUCGCAUUUCACGUAUAAUUUCUUCAAUUUCCAUGUCUCCUUUCUAUGAUAAAGAUGUCGAAGGUUGAACAAUAGGCAUUGUCAGUCAUGUUGUAUGUAUUGGAUUUUUAGGUGCUUAUAUUGCUUUUGGAAUAUUACUCCUAUCCUUCUUUUUUUCUCUUUUUGCAAGCAAAUCCACUGUAUUUUUAAUAUUUUUCCACUUUGUUGUCAAUCCUUCAUCUUUGUCUUUGUCUUCAAGAAGUAACUCCAAUUUUCCUUGUAAUUUUCCAUCAAUAGCUUGAAGAAAUAAUUCAACCUUGUUCGGCUUUAAUGUCAAUUUUUCUACCUUCGAUAAUUGAGAGUACUGCCUCUCAAAUUCUCUUAGUAGUUCUAUUGCUUGUAAAUUCUUAUUAGGCCACUCAAUCCAUUCUAGAAAUAAUUUCUUAGUAAUACAAUGAGUGUCUUCCAUGAAAUAUUCAUCUUUUAAUGCAUGUGAAUAAAUCUCCCAUGAAUUUCCAUAAUACUCCAUAAUUGAAGUAAUAUGUUCUCUUAUCUCUAGUACCAUGGUUAGUCCAAAUAAUUCAACCAUCUUCUUCUCAGAAACCUGAUUUAAUUCCAUUUUCCGAACAUAACAUCUUAAAUACUUUGAAAUAUCCCUUCCAUCAAACUGGUCAAUUUUAUUGACCACUGCUUGUAAAGCUUCUUUGCAAUCAUUUCUUUGCUGUUGCUCUAUAGAUAAUGAUAAGGCUUGAAACAUACUAGCAAAGGAUGGAUCCAUGCACAUAGCUUAUCCUUUAGAAGAAGCUCCACUUAAAGCUCCUUCAAAAUUUUUAUUCUCGUUCUCCAAAAAAUAAAAAUGAAAAUAAAUGAACACCAAUGCCUCACACGUUAAGCGUUUCACAUCGGAUUCACCACUUAUGUUGUAUUAUGUGCUAUCUAGCUUGAGAACGCAUCGGGUGUCUAGCUGUAGAAGAUAAAAUGAUGUUUAACAAAUAUCCAAGUAGUCUAGUGGUUUUCAACCAUCUAAACACAAACUAUUUCGGAUUUCAAUGUAAAAGCUUAAUUCCAAUACAAAGUACUUAGAAAUACUAUUUUUAAUAACUUCAAGAUAUUAUAAGUAUAAUUUUUUUUUUAUUUGUUAGUUUUAUUUUUUAUUUUAUUUUAUUUUUUAUUUUUUUAAACCCUAAUCCUAAACAACAAGCUUCGACAAGCUGAAAUUUUCAAUCUGACCAUCCGAUUGUUGUAAACUUCUACUGCUAAUGUCUUUGCAAGCCUUCUAAAUGCUCAAGAAGUUUCAAUCCAAUCUAACUUAUAGAUUGCAAAAAAAUGCCAUAAAUCCACAUUGAUGUAUCUUGACUGCCGCUUAGAAGUCCUCGACUUACCAUGCCAAAAGUCACCUUAUUCCAGCUGAUAAAUCUCUAGAUAUUACAAAAAUCCUACAUAACUCCAAUCUACUAACUUUUGAUACCUCUUUACACUAAUGGUCAAAUAUCCUCUAUCUGUUCCGUUAGAUUAAUACAAACUUUUGCAUGCACUAGGCAUACUCAACCCUCUAGACAACUCUAUAUCUCAAUCGCAAAAGUUUCUCUAAUUUCACAAGACAGUCGAGAGUACUAGCCUUAACUUUAUUGCAAAAAAAAAUCCAACCACCAAUACAAACACUGACUUUCAGCAACGAUUGCAAAAGUCCUUUCAAAACCUAUGAAUCCAAUUCACCAAUACAAACACUGACUUUGAGUAACGAUUACAAAGUCCUUCCAAAACCUAUGAACCCAAUUCACUAAUACAAACACUUUUCGAAGGAGCUUGAAGCUCCUUUCUGACCCCCAAAAUCCUAAUUUCCGAAUCCCCCUAAAAAUCCUCCUUUUAUUCCCUUCAGUUUAACUCCGUGUGGUCCCAUUUUCUCCCACUCUUGACUCCAAAUUGGAACAAUUGAUGGCACUUCCCCGGAAUUCCUGUCUCUAAGAGGAUCUUAUCUUGUAAAUGACGUUUCUCUUAGAAUGGCAUAGAGAACGGAAUAGCUUGAGAUGGAAUCGAAGCCUCCAUAAUCAGGACCUCAUUGGGUUGCCCAAUCGAGUCAAGUCCCAUACUGGGUAAGAUGCUUGUAAUAGGAGCUGGAUUAGAUGUCACAUAAUUGGAUCAAAUUGGCCCUUCGCAUCAGGCUCACCUAAUUUUUGAAUUGGUCCUUUCUCCUUUUUUUGACUCUUGGUAAGAACAACUUGGACACAUUCUACCCGUUUAUCAGAGAAUCUUGAGGUCCUUGAUUUAUCUCCUCAAUUUUUCCUUGGCUUUAGAUCUACUGAUCUUGUUUAUUGAAAUUGGACGGAGCAUUACAUUGCUGAUAAGUAUGCCCCGACUGCUUACAAUUCCUACAAAUUGGUGCGUAAUCAUUAUUGGCUUUGGGAUUGGAACAAUCACUAGCAUAAUAACCAACCUGUCUGCAACAGAAAUAACAAAGUGGUCUUCCUGUACUCCCAUCAUGCAUAUUGGGUGUCUCCACCGGUAUAUACCUACUAGGCUUGUUCCAUGUAGGAUUGGAAAGUGAUCGUAGUUGUUUCAUUGGUACGGAGGGUACUUGAUUUGAUGAUGCUAGUGGGGUGAUAUUAACUGACCCUGAAUAUUGGCACUUGAAUUGGCCAUUGUUUCUAAUAUCUAAGAUGACUAAAUAUAAAUAAUAUCUUUUUUAUUUAUAUUUUCACCAUAUAGUCGUGUUACAACACGACACCAGCGUCAUCAAAUUAAGUACCUUCCGUACCAAUGGGAUGAGUAAGAUUAUUUUUUAAUCCUACAUAGAACAAGCUAGUAGGUAUAUACUAGUGGAAAUACCUAAUAUGCCUGAUGGAAAUGCAAGAAGACCACUUCGUUGUUUCUGUUGCAGACAGAUUGGUCAUUAUGCUAAUGAAUGUCCUAAUUCCAAAGCCAAUGAUAAUUAUAUGCGAGUGUGUGGGAAUAGUAAGCAGUCGGGACAUACUUAUCAACAAUGUAAUGUUCCGUUCAAUUUCAAUAAUCAGGAUCAUCAGAUCCAAAGCCAUGGAAAAAUUGAAGAGAUAAAUCGAGGUCCUCAAGAUUCUCUGAUAAAUUGGGUGGAAUGUGUCCAAGCCGUUCUUAUCAAGAGUCGAUAAAAGAGAAAAGGACCAAUUCAACAUUCGGGUGAGCUUGAUGCGAAGGGCCAAUUUGAUCCAAUUACAAGGACAUCCAAUCCAGGUCCUGUUAUGGACCUCUUGCUCAAUAUGAGACCUGACUCGGUUGGGCAAUCCAAUGAGGUCUAGAAUAUGGAGGCUUCAAUUCCAUUUCAAGCUAUUCCGUUCUCUAUGCCAUUUUGGGAGAAACGUCCUUUCUGUAGAAAGAUCCUCUUAGAGGCAAGAAUUCCAUGGAAGCGCUGUUGUACUGUAAAUGCUUACAGUAUGUAAAAAUUAGCUAAAAUAUAUUAUAUGUUGAUAAAUCUAGAUGUAUGUUAGAGUGGCUAGUAGAUUAAAUUAAAAGGAUUUGGUAUAAGAAACUUUACUUUGUUUCUUUACUUCUUUUGAUUUUGAUAUUAAAAUAUAUAUAUAUAUAUAUAUAUAUAUAUAACCUAAAUGUUUAGUACGAAGCCUUGGAAGAAGGUGGAAACAUAAGGAUGAAAAUCUAAACUAGUAGGAGGCUAAUUGAAAGGGAUGAAAGCAAGGCCUGGUCGGAUGAAGGCAAGGAAUGUAGAACUUCAUCCCUAUUAGUCGAAUACCAUGCCCAAUAGGCUUCAAGGAGGCUGCCCGAGGCCUUAUUAAGGAUUAGGGUUCCACUUUCAGGGCAUUCGGAGAUAAGAAGCUAGGGUUGUAAAGUUUAGAGUUUGGAGAACAAUUUGUGUACAAAAAUUAGAGGAUUUGGAGUUAGGGUGAAAAAGUUAUAACCGUUUGAAGUUAAGGUAUUUAUUUAAAACAUACUGUUUCUCUUUUGAGAGUACGAGGAGUUUUAUAGCAGCUUUUGAAGAUCGGAAGGUGCAUCUGGAACGGUGAUUUCAAGGCCUACAUUAUUCACGAAAGAAUUAUUGCUUUUGGAGUUCAUAUGAAGGAGUUGUAAGGAGUUGAAGGCGACGCUUCCAAAUCAAAAGUAGAAGUAAGCGGGUUUAUUUGUAGUAAUGGUUGAAGCCAUAACUUGAGAUUUCGAACGAAUUUUUGACUCAAACUUUUUAGAGAAUGUAAAAUUUUGUGUUAAAAAGCUAUACAUAUAAAUUUCGUGGAAUUUGAGCUUAUAUUUUGUGAGAUAUGAAGAAAAUUUCAUGCAGAUAUAUAAAGACAAGAGUUUGAAGCGGCUGUUAGGGAUUUCAAGAUAUCUCAAGAUCUGCAAUGAAUUUGCUGUUGAAAUUUUUUGUAAAAGUUAAUAAAAAUACAUCAGUACCUCAUGUAAAAUUAGAGUUUUUUUGGACAGUCGGAUUAAGAGAUAUGAGGUGUUGAAGUUUGGAAAAAUCUCCCCAUAAGAAUAAACAAGGAUUUAGAAGAUUUUAUCAUAUUUUGGAAGUUGUGGGUUACUUGAGGAUUGUAUAUUUAGUGUAAUUACUCAAAAAGAGAAAGAUUUUAUAUAAACUUAGGGCUUCCCUUAUUUUCAAGCUUGAUUGAAUAAUUAGUGACAACCAGAAGCCCAGCGUUUUCUUGAGGCAAACUCUCUCUACCCCGACAGUACGAUGUCGUAUGGCGUGAUUUGCUAUCUGGGAAUACACUGGGUAAUUAGGUGUAGAGAGUGUACCUUAAACCUUUAUAUGAUUCUUUUCUUGGCUUCCAAAACUCCUUUAUUUUUGUAUAAAACUCCAAAUAUAACAAAAUCCCUUCAAAACACAUUUUUCCCGCCGAGGGUUUUCUCGCCCCAAACUUUAGAAAAUCAUAACUAUUGAUCGAACCGUUAAGUUUGUUUCAAAUUAACAAAAUAGGUAGAAUUUACCCUUAACUUGUACCACAAUAAAAACCAACCGCAAAUUUACUCCCGAUCUUCUGGCAUCUAAGAAACCCUAGCAGACACUCCAAACCCUAAUUUACAAGCACCCGAAAACUAUUUUCCUUAUAUCUCAAAAAUCCGAACUCCAAAUGUCAUAAAACUUAUGCACAAAGUUUACUAACAUGAAAUUACACGUUCCUUGAAAUUUUGAGCCAAAACCUCACAAAAUUGCUCAAGAUGUAGCUCAAGAGACAAACACUAGUAAAUCGGUUUAUUUACUACCCUUAGAUUGCAUGUGCUGACUUUAAAAUCCAAUAACUCAUUUAUCCCAACUUGGAAUCCAGUAUGCAGUAUAUGAAAAGUAUAGCCGCAAAAGUGCUCUUUCCAGUCGCGAUCGUCGAUCCUCAAUUGCCAUCCGUACGCGUGCGUUAUGCCCAAAAGAGUGACAGUAGGUCCAAAACUAACACCUUAACUUUGAGCGCCUAUAACUUCUUCAUAAAAACCCCAAAUGACACAAAACUUGCACCAAAACCUUAACCAAAAACCUAAACCUUCUGACCCUAGCCUUCAAAGUUCGAGUGGCCUCGAGAAACUAACCCUAAUCCCUAAUAUGGCCUCGGACAGCCUCGUCAAAGCCCAUUGGUCAUGAUUUUUGACCAAUAGGAAUGGAGAUUUUUAUUUUUCAUCUCCAUUCAUCUAUAUUGGUGCCCUAAUUCCUCCCUUUGCUACCAAAACCCUUCUUCAAUCCUUUUUCUUAUAAGAUUUACAUAAUGUAUGCUCUAAACACCAAAUAAAAGAACCAAAAUAGUUUUUUAAAUGUCACCAAUGUCUAACAAAGGUGACUCUAAAUAUUUAGAAGUUACUAUCAACCAAAACCAAUCUUAAAAGCCACUAUCAAAAAGAAAUUAAAGUUAUACAAAUUCUAUAGUAAUCUUUUUAAACAACCUCUUCUCAAAGUAAUAAUCAAAUUAUAUCCUACAACCAACUAAAAUCUACUAACAUGGCUCUUACUAUGUUACUUAAUAAAUUAUAUAUUAAGUACAUAAUUAUAUUAUUUUCAUAUAGUAGCCGAACCACAACACGACAGCGGUCUGUUGUUCCAAUUUCCAAUCUAGGACGGAAGAAUAGUGGACCUCAUAGAGUUAAAGGAAAAGAAAGAAAAGAAGAGAGGGCAUUCGGAGAUUAGGAUUUUUGAGGUCAGAGAGCUAGCUUCAGGUGCCUUCAAAAGGUGUAAGACUGAGUUUCAUAGGAUUUGGAAGGAUUUUGCAAUUGUUGCUCAAAGUAAGUGUUUGUAUUGGUAAAUUGGGUUUUUUUUGCAAUAAAGUUAAGGCUAGUAUUCUUGACUGUUUUGUGAAAUUGAAAAAACAUCUGCAAUUGAAAUUUUAGAAGUAUCUAGAUGGUUGAAUAUGCCAAGUGCUUGCAAAAAUUUGUAUUAAUCUAACGGUAUGGAUAGAGGAUAUUUGAUCAUUAGUGUAAAGAGGUAUUAGAAGUCGACAUAUUGGAGUCGUUUAGGAUUUUUGUAAUAUCUAGAGAUUUAUCAAGUAGAAUAAGGUGAAUUUAAAUGUAAUAAGUCAAAGACUUAAAAGUGGAGCUGCACACAAAGUUUGAAUGAGAAUUAAUAGUUGGAGAAGGAGAAAUUGUAAGUCAAGAUUUGUCAUCAACUUUCUUGGCGGCGGUCAAGGGACAUCAUUGUGGAUUUACGACGUUUUCUUGCAAUCUAUAAGUUAGAUUAGAUUGAAACUUCUUGAGCAUUUAGAAGACUUGCAAAGACACUAGCGAUAGAAGUUUUACAAUAAUCGGACGGUCAGAUUGAAAAUUAGAGCUUGGCAAAGCUCGCUGUCUAGGAUUAGGAUUUAAAAAUUUAAAAAAUAUAUAUAUAUAUAUAUAUAUAUAUAUGAAAAUAAAUAUAUAUAUAUAUAUAUAAAUAUUUUCAUAUAUAUAUAAAAAUAUAUAUAUAUAUAUAUAAAAAUAUAUAUAUAUAUAUAUAUAAAUAUAUAAAUAAUAAUAUAAUAAUAAUAAUAAUAUUAAUAAAAAUAAAAUAAAAUAAAACUAACAAAUAAUAAAAGAAUUUGUACUUAUAAUAUCUCGAAGUUAUUAAAAAUAGCAUUUUUAAGUACUUUGUAUUGGAAGUAAGCUUUUAUAUUCAAAUCCGAAAUAGUUUAUAUUUAGAUGGUUGAAACCCACUAGACUACUCGAAUACUUGUAAAAUAUCAUUUUAUCUUCCACAGCCAGACGCCCAGUGCAUUUUCAAGCAAGAUAGCACGUAAUAUGAUAACCUAGGAAGAGCAUUCAUAAUGGCGUCCAACUUGGACUCAAAACUUUGAAUCAUACUAAUAUCUUGAUCUCCGGCCAUUCUAAGAGAAGGAAAGAAAUGACUCUACAAGAAGGUAGUAUUGGUUUAGAAGAGGAUACUCCGCAACCUCUAAAACGCCUUAAAACCUUCAAGAAGAUGGGUAUUCCACUCUCUACAAGAAAGAUAAGACUCCAAUAUUAUAAUAGAAGAAAUAUCAAUUUAGUGGAGGAUAAUCCGCAACCUCUAAAAUGCUAACACUUUCAAGCAAAGGGAUAAUCCGCACUCUAAUAAGAAAGAACUAAUUCUGAUAUGAAAGAUGAGUGCAGUCUCGACAAACUGUCACAAAUUUAGAAUAUUGACUGAAAAUCUAAAUGAGAAGCUUAAGAAGAAUCGGUAAGAACUAGAUUAAUCAGAUGAGUACAAGAACAAUACUAGAGAGGUGAGCUAGAGCUCCAAGAGGUGUGUUGUCGAGACUGAGGAUUCCUUCAAUCUCGGCUCCUAUAUAUACUACAAGCUAGGAAGCUUCUCAAGUAGCUUCUAUAAACUAGGAAGCUUCUCAAGCAACUUCUACGAGUUAGGAAGCUUUUCAAGCAGCUUCCAUGAGCUUGAAAACUUCUCAAGUAGCUUCUACAAACUACAAAGUUUUUCUAAAACCUUCUAGAAUCUUCUACAAAUUCCUAGUGUAUGUCCUUGACAAAUGGCCACCUAGAGCAAAAUAGGGGUUUUUUUAAAGAUUGGCAAUUGGGAUUCAUGAGCUAACUUCAAGCUUAUUUCAAACUUGGGAGAUAUCCGGAUAUUAGUACAAGAAGAUAUCAAAAGUUUGCAGUUUGGAAUCGGGUGGUUUCUAUGAUAUCUAAAGAUCUAUUAAUUGGAUCAAAAUGAAGUUUGGAAUAGUAUUAGAAUAUUUUAAGAUCAAGAUAUAUACUAAUUUUAAGUUGAUGUUAACAAUUUCAAAAGGAAAAAUCACAAUUGAAACAUCUGCAUCAACUUUCAAAUUAGCGGCCAAGUGAUAUCAAUGCAGUUUUUUGGACUUUUUUUCACAAUUUGUAAAUUAAAUUAGGCUGAAUUUUUCUAAGCAUAUAAAAGACUUAUAGUAGUAUUUGUAUGAUUUUUUUUUCAUUAAUUAGAUAAUUAGAUUAAGAAUUAUAGGUUUCCAAAGGUCACUAAUUAGGAUUAGGACUUAUAAAAAAAAUCAAAAUUACGUAAUUAUAAAAGUAAUAAAAUAAUUAAAUUUUAUAUAUUAUUAAGGUUACUUAGAAGAGUAUUUUUGAUCACUUUAUAUUAACUUUAAGCAAUUUUGAAUUAAAAUUCAAAUUGCAUUCUUUUUAUAUAGGUAAACCUCUUAGGAUUUUUUAGAUAUUUGUAAAACACAACUUCACCUUCUAUAGCCAAGUGCCUUGUAUAUUUUUAAAUAAGACAAUACAUAUUACGACAACAAUCUUCAAAUAUUUUAUUCUUAUUGCUUAUUUAGUUGUUAUAAGAUAUAUAAAUUUUGAGUCAACAUCAAUAGUUUAAUUAUUAAUUAUUAAAUUUUUAAUCUGAUAAUAGAUUAUUAAGAUUUAUUUAAGAUUUAGGAUUUAAUUAAAGAUUGAUUAAGAUUGAUUUAGGAUCUAAAAUUUGAUUAAGAUUGAUUUAGGAUCUAAAAUUUGAUUAAGAUUUUUUUAGGUUUUGAUUAGAAUUUAGGAUUUAAAUUUGAUAAAGGUUUGAUUGAGAUUUUAUUAAUAUUUGAUUAAGAUUUGAUUAGGAUUUCAAUAGAAUUUCAUUAGAAUUAAUUUAAGAUUUAGAAUUUUAUUAAGAAUUCAUUAUGAUUUGAACUAAGAUUUUAUAAAGAUUCAUUAGGAUUUUAAUUAAGAUUUAAUUUAAGAUUUGAUUUAAGAUUUGGUUAGAAUUGGUUUAAAAUUUUAUUAGGAUUUAUUAAAGGUUAUAUUAGUAUUUGAUUAGGAUUCAAUUAGAAUAUCUAUUUUUAAUAUUUAUUUAAUAUUUUAAUAUUAUAUAUAUUAUUGAGAUUAAUUUAUUAUUUAUAUAUAUUUUUUUGUAAGUUUUUGAAACUUCUUUUGGAUCUAAUUAAGGAUAGAAUAACAUUGUUAUAAUUUAAUUAGAAUUUAUUUAAAAUUCUAUUAGAAUGGUUAGAAUCAUCUUCUUGCAAGAUCAUUUUUUUUCCUUCCGCAGUUAGGUAUCUAGUGCAUUCUUGAGAAGACUUCAUGUUGUAAGAGUAGAGAGAAUUUGCCUUAAGAAAGAGCUAGGCUUUUGGCUAUUACUAAUUAUUCAAUCAAAUCACAAGAUAGAAAAGCACCAAGUUUAUAUAUAAAAUUAUUCUUAUAGGAGCAAUUACAUCAAUACACAAGUCCUAAGUAUCAAAAAUCAUCCAAAAUGUGAUAAAAUAUUAUAAAAUCUUAUAUUUCUUUAAGGUGAAAACUUCUUAAAUUUCAAUAGUUCAUAUUUCACGAUUCAAUCGUCUAAACAAACUAAAAUUUUAUAUAAAGUACUAAUUUACAUUUAACAACUUUUACAACAACUUUUAUAACAAAUUUCAAUUGCAAAUUCAUUACGAAUCUUUAGAUAUCAUCAAAAUCCUAAUAAUAGCUUCAAAUCCUUACUUGCAUACAUUAAUGUGCAAUUUUCUUUAUAUUUCACAAAUUAAAUAUUUAAAUACCAUAAAAUUUUGAUAUAUAGCUUUCUAAUCUAAUAAUAAAUACUUUUAGAAAUUUUGAGCUUAAAAUUCAUCUGGAAACUCAAGUUAUGGCUUCAAUCAUUACUAUCAACUAAAUAACUCACUUAUUGCCUUUGAAUAACAUAUGUUGUCUUUAAUACUCUAUAACGCCUUCAUUUAAAAUCUAAAUGUAGAAAUUCUUUCAUAAAGACUUAGAAUUUGAAAUCAUCCUUUUGAUUAUAUCUCUUGAUCUCCAAAAGCUAUUGUAAAACUCCUCAUAUUUUCAAAAGAGCAAUAGUAUGACUUAAAAAGACACCUUAACUUCAAACGGCUAUAACUUCAUUAUAUUAAUUUCAAAUCCUCUAAAUUUUAUAUACAAAUUGUACUUCAAAUCCUAAAAAUUAUAAUCCUUGCCUCUAAAUCUCAAAUGUCCCUUUUGAAGUUGCCAAAAUCCUUAUUAUGGUCGCAGAUAGUCUUCUAAGAACCUAUUGGACAUGGUUUUUGAUCACAAAGCAUGAAGAUCCUCACUUUUUGCCUUCAUUCAUCUAUUCUUUACUUUCAUCUGUCCAAAUAAAUUUCUUAAACGUUUGAAUCUUCAUUUUUGAGUCCCAAUCUUCUCUUUAAAUUUUAUACUAAAUAUCUAAAUCUUAUAUAAUUUAAAUACUAUAAUCAAAAUAAAUAAACCUUAAAAUAAAUUUUCUUACAUCAAUUCUCUUUAAAUUAAGCUACUAACCACUCUAAUACAUAUCAACACUUGUAAAUAUAUUAUAUAUUUUAGUAAAUUUUUACAUACUAUAAAAAACUAUAAUAUGACAAAAUAAUAUGAUAAUAGAAGAAACUUUGGAAGUU